rnacentral:misc_RNA from 1 species
GAUGAAGAACGCAGCGAAAUGCGAUAAGUAGUGUGAAUUGCAGAAUUCAGUGAAUCAUCGAAUCUUUGAACGCACAUUGCGCCCCUUGGUAUUCCAUGGGGCAUGCCUCUUCGAGCGUCAUUUGUACCCUCAAGCUUUGCUUGGUGUUGGGUGUUUGUCCCGCGUUGCGCGUGGACUCGCCUUAAAGCGAUUGGCAGCCGGCAUAUUGGCCUUGGAGCGCAGCACAUUUUGCGCUUCUAGUCAUGAAUGUUGGCGUCCAUUAAGCCUAUACAUUUGCUCUUGACCUCGGAUCAGGUAGGGAUACCCGCUGAACUUAAGCAUAUCAAUAAGCGGAGGA